AGUUCAGUGGUACUAUUCCUGUUGAACUAGGCAAUCUAUCCCAGCUCCAGACCUUAUCAUUAAAUGCAAACCAUUUUACUGGUAGAAUACCUGCAUCCCUGGACACUUGAACAAGAAUCAUCUCUCAGGUCCAAUUCCACUGAGCCUUUUCAGCUCUAGCAUGAAUGUUAAACAUAUACUGCUUGACA